AAAUCCGGUUCACUUUAACACUGAGGCGUGACGACGAGGCACUACGGUGCUGAAGCAACAAAUGCCCUGCUUCCAGGAAAAGCCUCUAAGCAUCAGGUAACAUCAAAUCGUACCCCAAACCGACACAGGUGGUCAGGUAGAGAAUACCAAGGCGCUUGAGAGAACUCGGGUGAAGGAACUAGGCAAAAUGGUGCCGUAACUUCGGGAGAAGGCACGCUGACACGUAGGUGAAGUGAUUUACUCAUGGAGCUGAAGUCAGUCGAAGAUACCAGCUGGCUGCAACUGUUUAUUAAAAACACAGCACUGUGCAAACACGAAAGUGGACGUAUACGGUGUGACGCCUGCCCGGUGCCGGAAGGUUAAUUGAUGGGGUCAGCGCAAGCGAAGCUCCUGAUCGAAGCCCCGGUAAACGGCGGCCGUAACUAUAACGGUCCUAAGGUAGCGAAAUUCCUUGUCGGGUAAGUUCCGACCUGCACGAAUGGCGUAAUGAUGGCCAGGCUGUCUCCACCCGAGACUCAGUGAAAUUGAACUCGCUGUGAAGAUGCAGUGUACCCGCGGCAAGACGGAAAGACCCCGUGAACCUUUACUAUAGCUUGACACUGAACAUUGAGCCUUGAUGUGUAGGAUAGGUGGGAGGCUUUGAAGUGUGGACGCCAGUCUGCAUGGAGCCGACCUUGAAAUACCACCCUUUAAUGUUUGAUGUUCUAACGUGGACCCGUUACCCGGGUUGCGGACAGUGUCUGGUGGGUAGUUUGACUGGGGCGGUCUCCUCCUAAAGAGUAACGGAGGAGCACGAAGGUUGGCUAAUCCUGGUCGGACAUCAGGAGGUUAGUGCAAUGGCAUAAGCCAGCUUGACUGCGAGCGUGACGGCGCGAGCAGGUGCGAAAGCAGGUCAUAGUGAUCCGGUGGUUCUGAAUGGAAGGGCCAUCGCUCAACGGAUAAAAGGUACUCCGGGGAUAACAGGCUGAUACCGCCCAAGAGUUCAUAUCGACGGCGGUGUUUGGCACCUCGAUGUCGGCUCAUCACAUCCUGGGGCUGAAGUAGGUCCCAAGGGUAUGGCUGUUCGCCAUUUAAAGUGGUACGCGAGCUGGGUUUAGAACGUCGUGAGACAGUUCGGUCCCUAUCUGCCGUGGGCGCUGGAGAACUGAGGGGGGCUGCUCCUAGUACGAGAGGACCGGAGUGGACGCAUCACUGGUGUUCGGGUUGUCAUGCCAAUGGCACUGCCCGGUAGCUAAAUGCGGAAGAGAUAAGUGCUGAAAGCAUCUAAGCACGAAACUUGCCCCGAGAUGAGUUCUCCCUGAGACUUAAAGUCUCCUGAAGGAACGUUGAAGA
rnacentral:rRNA from 1 species